AACUUUCAACAACGGAUCUCUUGGUUCUCGCAUCGAUGAAGAACGCAGCGAAACGCGAUAUGUAAUGUGAAUUGCAGAAUUUUGUGAAUCAUCAAAACUUUGAACGCACAUUGCGCCCUCUGGUAUUCCGGAGGGCAUACUUGUUUGAGCGUCA
rnacentral:rRNA from 1 species